rnacentral:rRNA from 1 species
UACGAAGGGGGCUAGCGUUGUUCGGAAUUACUGGGCGUAAAGCGCGCGCAGGCGGUCUUCCAAGUCAGUGGUGAAAGCCCGGAGCUCAACUUCGGAACUGCCAUUGAAACUGUUAGACUUGAGGACGAGAGAGGUGAGUGGAAUUCCCAGUGUAGAGGUGAAAUUCGUAGAUAUUCGGCGGAACACCAGUGGCGAAGGCGACUCACUGGCCCGAUCUGACGCUGAGGCGCGAAAGCGUGGGGAGCAACAGG